rnacentral:misc_RNA from 1 species
GAUGAAGAACGUAGUGAAAUGCGAUAAGUAAUGUGAAUUGCAGAAUUCAGUGAAUCAUCGAAUCUUUGAACGCACAUUGCGCCCGCCAGUAUUCUGGCGAGCAUGCCUGUUCGAGCGUCAUUUCAACCAUCAAGCCCCAGGCUUGUGUUGGAGCCCUGCGGCUGCCGCAGCCUCCCAAAACCAGUGGCGGGCUCGCUAUCACACCGAGUGCAGUAGUUUACUCUUCGCUCAGGGCGUGUGGCGGGUGCUAGCCGUGAAACCCCCAACUACUCAAGGUUGACCUCGGAUCAGGUAGGAAUACCCGCUGAACUUAAGCAUAUCAAUAAGCGGAGGA